rnacentral:rRNA from 1 species
UACGGGGGGGGGCAAGCGUUGUUCGGAAUUACUGGGCGUAAAGGGCUCGUAGGCGGCCAACUAAGUCAGACGUGAAAUCCCUCGGCUUAACCGGGGAACUGCGUCUGAUACUGGAUGGCUUGAGAUUGGGAGAGGGAUGCGGAAUUCCAGGUGUAGCGGUGAAAUGCGCAGAUAUCAGGAGGAACACCGGUGGCGAAGGCGGUUCUCUGGGCAUUACCUGACGCUGAGGAGCGAAAGUGUGGGGAGCGAACAGG